rnacentral:lncRNA from 10 species
CAGGCUAAGGAGGACACCUGUCAUAGCACUUUUCAUAGAUGCUGGUGUACCCUUCAUCCGUGGAUUUCUCAAUGUCAUGAGGAAGAAAGAGUCUUUUGGAUCCUCUCAUAGGAUAGUUAAAAGUGACACAAGGACCUGAGCUUAUUGUAUUGUGGAUCUCUGUCAUCUCAAAUGUUUUUCAUCUCUAUUCACAUGGAUAUGGGAAAGAGUGACCUGAGGAUGCCAGAGAAGAUUUUUGGAAUCAGCCUUGGAAAUUAUAUAUAUUAAUUCAGUCCACAUUACCUUGGCCAGGAAUAGUCAUGUGGCCCCACCAAGAUACAAGGGAGGCUCUGUUCCCAAGAAGAUAAAAUGAAAUUGGUGAAUAUCUGUGAUAGUCUCUUCCACAGUCUGCUUUUCUGGUCACUAAAUAUCAAUUUCGUGUUUCUUCCCAAACCUAGAAUACACUCAUCUCUCAGCAAGGGGAACAACCCAUAGUUGCAACUCAAAUCAAUAGUGUAUCAAAUUAGAAGACAAAGAUCUCUGAAUGAUAAGCACUAUUCUCUAGUGCUUAUCCCUGAACUGAAAUACAGGUUACCUGCCUAACCCUCCACACUCUAUAUCCAGUGGUAGAGCAGGGAUGUAAUAAUUUCAGUAAACUUUCUUAUUAGAAAAGGGGAAAAAUGGGAGACACACAAUAGUCAAUGGUGCAUAAAAAUUAUCAAAUUCUGCUAACCAGACAAUCAAAGGUUCCCAUUGUAUUAUUUAGGGAUAUUCAGGCUGAGCUUCUCUAAAAAAAAAUAGCCCUAAAAUUUCAGCAGCUUAACCUAAUUUAAAGUUUUAUCUGGACUCAUAGAAUGAGUUAGCAAGAAUCUCUUCCUUCUUGAUUUUUUUGGAAUAGUUUGAGAACUGGUGUUAGUUCUUCUUUAUCAAUAUGUUAAAAUUCAACAGAAAAGCCACCCAGUACUGGGCUUCUCUUUAUUGGGAGACUUUUUAUUAUCAGUUCAAUCUCAUGAUUUGUUAUGAAUCUGUUGAGGUUUUCUACUUCUUCCUAAUUCAAUCUUGGUAGGUUGUAUGUUUUCAGGAAUUUAUCCAUUUUCUAUAGGUUUUCCAGUUUGUUAGUAUGUAGUUGUUCAUAAUAGUCAGUGAUGAUCCUUUGUAUUUCUGUGGUAUCAGCUAUAAUGUCUCCUUUUUUAUUUCUAAUUUUGUUUAUUUGGUUCCUCUCUCUCUUUUUUUUCCUUGGCUUGACAACUUCAUUCUUUUGUAUGUGGAUAUCUAGUUGUCCCAGCACAAUUUGUUUUAAAAAAACUAGUUUUCCC